GGUUCCGUGGUGUAGCGGUUAUCACAUCUGCUUUACACGCAGAAGGUCGCCGGUUCGAUCCCGGUCGGAACCA